rnacentral:misc_RNA from 1 species
CAUUUUUUUUAAUCUUUUUUUUUUUAUUGGGCGUUUGAUCUUUUGCUGAUUGGUUUGGUUUUUAUGUAAUUUUAGUCUCAAGGUUUCCCUUUUUGCGUGAAUUUGCUUUGGAAUAUUCUAGAUCUACUAUCGAUUUGCUUUAGAUUUUCAUGCGGGCUUGUUUGUUUUAGGGUUUUGUUUUUUCCCAUUUGAUUAUUCCCCUCCGUGGUUUUUGAUCUUCUCGCUUGAUCGUCAAGACAAUUUUUACGCUUUUGGUUAUAGUGUUGAAAGGUUGUCUAUAUAAUUGAUCCUAUAUACCUACUAUAGUUUCUGGAUGUGUAGAUGUCCCUAACGGUUACUUCGUGCACAGAAUGAGUGAUGCGCUUCACCUUCAUUUAUUAAGAUGUUUCCUGUAUAUGGCAUUGUAAUUUUGUAUGUAAUAUGGUGAGUGUGAUUGAGAGGUUCAGAAAAGAAGUAGUCUUGGUGAGGAAAUUAUAGAUCACAUUGCGCUGAUGGUCUUCAUUUGGAGUAUUUCAUGUUUAACUUUGCCAAACGCUUGCUUUCUGUGCACACUGUCUUUUAGUAACUUCGAUUUUAUGCUUUGUGUAGUGUCUUUUCAAAUUAGCAUAAGCAGAUGAUAUGGCUAUUUUCUUGAUUUGUAUUGCGUUGUUUCUGUGUGCUAAUUGGAUUACUUUUAUUGUUGUAUUCAGUGCGUUAUUCCUUGCUAGUCAUAUUGGUAAUUAGGUGCCCCAGGAUUGCUGUGAAGCAGCUCGUGAGGCUUUGUAUUAUUCAGUUGUUUCAGUAGAUUUCCUGCAGGAACAGAAGUCUGUUAAUUUUCUAUUUGUUUCUGUGUUUUGAAGUUGGAGUCAAAUUAUGAAGUUUUAUGUGAUUUUAUUAUGAAUAUUGUUGCUAGGUUGAGGAACUGCAACUUGUACGCCUUAACAAAUCAUGCUAGAAGAUUGACGGGAACAAAAUUUGGUGCUAAGUUUCUCGCUGAUGAAAGUGUAUGCAUGCUUAGUUGCUCUAUGUACCUGAGAACUAUGUGCCAAUCUUAUCUGGGAAGUGAAAUGGUGAAAAGAGGCAAUGGUGAAGAUGCAUUGCAUAUAAGAAUUGAUUACUAAAUAGCUAUUACUGUUCAAUUAUUUAAUUAUUCAAUUAUGAACAGAUACUUGCUUGAAGAUGUUGGAAGUUUACUUUAUAGUUAAUAUGAUUUGAUUAGCAUGCUUGGCUUUCUAUUAGAGUCGUGGUGUCGUGGUGCCCCUAGCAGCCUGGCCAAUUAAUAUUGGCCACACAAUCAUGGCAUCUGGCAAUCCUUUUUUGGAUGACGUGAGAAGUAAACCGGAGGUUAUUGAUCCUCCUCAAAAUGAAGACAUGAUGGAUGUUGGUGAAAGUGUGAAUGAUUCUGCUCAGACGGCUUUGAAACCUAAUGUGACUGUGUCCAGCAGUGUACGUGAGCUAUUAGAGUGCCCUGUGUGCUUAAAUGCUAUGUAUCCUCCUAUUCAUCAGGUUUGCUGUAUGCUUCCUUGGUCAUUUGUAAUCACUUAACAUUCUCAUAAUUAAAAUUUUGUCAUUCUUGAAAGUUGAAAUCGUUUUGUGGUUUUGAAGUUAUGAGAUUAUAAUGUUUGGAUACAUCUUUUAUAUGCGCUAGACUUGCAUGCUCACACAUACACACAUCAUAGAAGGAUUUUAAAAUUUUACUUGAAAACUUGUUCUAAUCUAUCUUGAUUGUUCAUCAUUUUCUGUUGCAGUGUUCAAACGGCCAUACAUUAUGUUCCGGCUGCAAACCCAGGGUUCAUAAUAGGUGCCCCACCUGCAGGCAUGAACUUGGUAACAUCAGAUGUCUUGCAUUAGAGAAGGUCGCUGCAUCCCUUGAACUUCCAUGUAAAUAUCAGAGUUUUGGGUGCGUGGGCAUAUAUCCAUACUACAGCAAGCUAAAACAUGAAUCUCAAUGUGUUUAUAGACCAUAUAACUGUCCCUAUGCUGGAUCAGAAUGCACAGUGAUUGGUGAUAUUCCUUUUCUGGUGGCCCAUUUAAAGGAUGAUCACAAAGUUGACAUGCAUAAUGGUAGCACUUUCAAUCAUCGAUAUGUCAAAUCAAAUCCACAUGAAGUUGAGAAUGCAACAUGGAUGCUAACGGUAUUGUUUUGCUUUGUGCUUGUUUCUUUUGGUAGUUUCUGGAUUCCUUCUUAUCCUAAACAGACAAAGGUUAAUCAUUUUUUUUUAAUUUACAUCACAAGAUGAGAAUUUUUUUUGGAUGCAUCUAGAUCCAUUCCAGUUAGUAUCGCCAUAAAUCCAUGCCUCAUAAACAAUGCACCUUUUGACUAAUGAGCCCUAUUGAAUCAAUAUGUACACUAAGUGUUUAUGCGUGAAGUCAAGAGGAAUCUAGCAUCAUGCUUCUGCUGCAGUGAGACCAUACUCCACUCCUUGACAUGUCAUGCUGUUUCUUGCUAGAUUGAACUUUUGCAAAAGCUUUUUCAUGAGUACAUAGAUGAUUAGUUUAUCUUGUUUUUUCCCCUUCUUUAAUUGUAGGUUUUUAGUUGCUUUGGUCAGUACUUUUGUCUACAUUUCGAAGCUUUCCAGCUUGGGAUGGCCCCUGUCUACAUAGCAUUCUUGCGGUUUAUGGGUGAUGACAAUGAGGCAAAGAACUACAGCUACAGCCUUGAGGUGGGCGGGAAUGGAAGGAAGAUGAUAUGGCAAGGAGUGCCUAGGAGCAUAAGGGACAGCCAUCGGAAGGUUCGUGACAGUUUUGAUGGUCUCAUCAUUCAGCGCAAUAUGGCUCUUUUCUUCUCUGGUGGAGACCGGAAGGAAUUGAAACUUAGGGUGACUGGUAGGAUUUGGAAAGAGCAGUGAGGAGAUAUUUUUACGUUCUAUUCGAUAACCAGAGCAAGUAGAUUAGUUGUGUAGCAUCUCAAGUCUUCUCUGAUCAUGUAUUUUUUGAGCUGUAAGGAGGCAAACUCUUUUUGCUUCUCCAUGCAUCAAAUACAUGAGUGGGAUACAUGAAACUUAUGCCUGCAACUAUAAUAUUUAUCUAGAGAUUUAGGUGUGCAAUUCUGCACUGCAUUUUGUAGUCUUCAUCGACCACAUGAUUGCAUUGAAUUAGUUAAUGCAUGAGCUUUUGGUGGAGCCGUUUAUUGUGAAUUAGGCAAUUUAACCAUUUAUUAAAAAAGCCUUGUGCCCAUAUAUCAUCUUCAAAUUGUGUCGGGUCCUUAUUGAAAUUUGAAUGGAAGUUGGUGAAGUCUUUUGGCCUUACUCUGCAUUCAAUCGCCGUGGUAGGCCCCUGUUUCUUUCUAUGCCUUCAACAUUCUCCAUUCAUACUUUUUCUGGCGUGGCCUAUGACGUGACUUACGCUAGUGCAUCGCAUAGAAAAAGCUUGAAAAGUAUUAACGUUCAAGUUUAUCAAUAAUUGGAGAAUGACAGCGAUUAGCUAACUCUGGAAAUUUGGGUACAUUGCAGUUGCCUUUGACCAUCUGCCAAUACUAUUCCUCCUAUUACGUUUCUUUACAGCUUCCUCUUUAUGUCGAGGUGAGCAAAGGCUAUUCUUCACUGAAGUCGAAUUCUAUUUCUAAUUGAUAAGGAAAUGAUAAUCCGAACAAACUGAGAAUCCAAUUCCUCAAUGGGUAUAAGAGUGGAGGAAGGAAGUACCCAUAUCCAUCCAUUCAUCCAUCCAGUUUCAAGGUCGAGACAGGCACAUUACAGCUCUUUUGAGAAUUGCAGCAACAGCAUGAUCAAGUGUAUAAAAUAAAAAAUGAAGGAUUAAAAACCAACCUUUAUAAAUUUAUUUUCAGCUGUUUCUCCUUUGUAUUUGGUGUUCAAUGAGAAGUUAGACUUCAAGAUGUUCACAAACAACCUUGCACUCCGCCUCCUAUCUCUAUAUCAAAAACCAAAAAAGAGCAGUUACAUAGGAUGCUCAAAAGCUUUUAUCAAGUUUGUGUGCUAUACCAAGGUACACCCUUGAAAAUUAAACUAAAUUUGGCUCAUCUGUUAGACAAACAAAACCAUUUUAAGCAUUAAAAAACAGAGGGAGGCAGACCCAAAUGCAGCUUCAAGUGCAUUUAGCCAAGUAUGCAUCCCAUCCUUGGAGACGAUAUUCACGGGCUGCUUCUGCAGGAUCUGCUGCCUUUAUAAUCCCACGGCCAACAAUGAUGAUGUCACUUCCCCUAUCAUAGAUCACAGAAUAUGGAGUGUUAUAUUGCUGGCCAAGGGCAUCUCCCCCAGUCACCUUCUGAACUCCUGGGGUUGCCUGAAUAAAUGCUGGAUUUAUUGGUGCCCCUGGCCAUGAUGCUGGAUUAACUGAGAUGAAGCCAAUGACAAAAUCUGAAUGUUCUUCAGCAAUUUUGACUGCUGCAGUGGUGUACUCUCCUGUGGCAAAGUUACCCGCGGAACUCAUUUCUGCAAGCAGCAACAGGCCCCUACCAUGAGGCAGACCCUUCAAUUUCAAUCCAUCUACAAUUCCCGGUCCAGAAAUAAUGUGAGCAUUAACAAUAUCAGCCCAAUCCAAAAUCUGGAAGAUGCCACCUUCAUACUGCAUUGUUACAGUGUUACCAAUGUCUGCAAACUUGCGAUCUUCAAAAAUUAAGAAAUUAUACUUAUCUGCAAUCAAGCGAAGCUUUGAACCAAAAUCAGGGGUAAAAUCAGGUAAUAUGUCUACAUGGGUUUUCAUCAUGCAAAUCUCUGGUCCAACCUUCUCAGCAAGGUGGAGCAACUCUGCAGCAGUCCCAACAUCAGCAGCCAAACACAAAUUACUCUCCUUCUUGACCAUCAAUUCAAACAAUCUCUUCCCAGUUGGAUUCUUCGCCAACUUUGCUCUGUCUUCAAAUUUCAAAGCUUUAAUCCUAACUUUCUCCAUGGCUGGCGCCGCCACAUUCCUAUUCUCCUCCAGAAAUUUCAUCACCAUUCUUUCCAUUUCCUCAUCCAACCUCCCUUUCUCCCUCAAAACCCUAACCAUCUCACUCAACUUAAUAAUGGCGUGCAAUUUAAUCCCAUUCACCUCCAAAUUCUCCCUCCCGCCUUGUUCCCUAUCUAUCAACACGACAGCAUCAGCAACAUUCAAUCCCGCCGCACGCAACGGAGCGGCGGUCUCGAGAACGGAGGUGCCGCUGGUGACGAGAUCCUCGACAAUAAGGCAAGUUUGGCCGGAGUGGAAGACGCCUUCAAUGGCCUUGGCAGUACCAUAGUCUUUAACCUCCUUGCGGCGCAUGACCAUGGGGAUGUUAUUAGAUAGGGAGACGCAAGUGGCGAUAGGGAGAGCGGUGUAGGGGACGCCGCAGAUAAGUUCAAAGGAGGUGGAGGAAGAGACGGAGGAGAUAAGGAUUUGGGAGAUGUGGCGGAGGAGGGAAGGGUAGGAGAUGAUGAGGCGGAGGUCGAUGUAAAUUGGGGAAGAGAUGCCGGAUUUGAGUUUGAAGUUGCCGAAUUUAACGGCGGAGAUAUCGUGGAGCUGGAGGAUGAGAGACUCCAUUGUUGACAUUGUUUAGUUGGAGAGUGAGUGGCCAGGUGAAGUGGGAGUUUCACUGACAAAUUAAUGAAAGGAGGCCAUUUUGGGCGAGUAGGGAAACGUCUUUUAAAUUCCGG